ACGGGGAGGAGCCCAGAGCCUGAAUCAGCAUGUGUGUUAGUGGAAGCGUCUGGAAAGGCGCGCGAUACAGGGUGACAGCCCCGUACACAAAAGCGCAUGUGCUGUGAGCUCGAUGAGUAGGGCGGGACACGUGGUAUCCUGUCUGAAUAUGGGGGGACCAUCCUCCAAGGCUAAAUACUCCUGACUGACCGAUAGUGAACCAGUACCGUGAGGGAAAGGCGAAAAGAACCCCGGCGAGGGGAGUGAAAAAGAACCUGAAACCGUGUACGUACAAGCAGUGGGAGCACAGGUUUACCUGUGUGACUGCGUACCUUUUGUAUAAUGGGUCAGCGACUUAUAUUCUGUAGCAAGGUUAACCGAAUAGGGGAGCCGGAGGGAAACCGAGUCUUAAUUGGGCGUUAAGUUGCAGGGUAUAGACCCGAAACCCGGUGAUCUAGCCAUGGGCAGGUUGAAGGUUGGGUAACACUAACUGGAGGACCGAACCGACUAAUGUUGAAAAAUUAGCGGAUGACCUGUGGCUGGGGGUGAAAGGCCAAUCAAACCGGGAGAUAGCUGGUUCUCCCCGAAAGCUAUUUAGGUAGCGCCUCGUGAAUUCAUCUCCGGGGGUAGAGCACUGUUUCGGCUAGGGGGCCAUCCCGGCUUACCAACCCGAUGCAAACUGCGAAUACCGGAGAAUGUUAUCACGGGAGACACACGGCGGGUGCUAACGUCCGUCGUGAAGAGGGAAACAACCCAGACCGCCAGCUAAGGUCCCAAAGUCAUGGUUAAGUGGGAAACGAUGUGGGAAGGCCCAGACAGCCAGGAUGUUGGCUUAGAAGCAGCCAUCAUUUAAAGAAAGCGUAAUAGCUCACUGGUCGAGUCGGCCUGCGCGGAAGAUGUAACGGGGCUAAACCAU
rnacentral:rRNA from 1 species